UUCUUGCCAUCUCUCGCCUAGUGCAGUUGCUUGGAUUUCUGUCGCGACACUGAGGUCAAAUCAGACGAAGCGAGUUACUUAUAUCACAUUACUUGUCUACAGAACGCGCACUACAGGAAGAGCUUCAAAUCCACACCGAGUUUUCAAGGGGAAAUGGAGAAACUUCCUGCUGUCAUUCUGAUCCUUUGCACUUUUACCGAAAUCUUGGGUAGUAGCCGUGCAAGUUGUCCUGUUCGAAAUAAUGGAGAUCCAUGUACUAAUGCAGGAAAAAUAGACAACCAGUAUCGAAGUAUACGUCACAAGUACGAUCGAAGGUCACCAGCUCUAUGUGACUACCUCCUUCAGCCUGGCUGGUAUCGCUUCACGAGUUGGGUGGGCGGUGAGAUUCCGACAUCUGCACCCGCACCGAACUCUUGUGGAACAGUUGCACCGAUAUGGAUGAGAGUGGAUAGAGGGACCCACCCAGACACUAUUGGGGUAAACGUGCCAGCUACAGCGUGCGUUAACCUUAAUAACUUGGCAAAUGGGUGUUACCAAAGCAUCGACAUAUGUUUGAGAAAGUGCACCGGGGAUUACUACGUCUACUACCUUUUGCCACCCCAAGGGUGUUCAAUGGCCUACUGUGCCGGAAACAAAGAGCCCUGCAAAAGAGGCUUCAGUGGACCCAACUGUACAGCCGAUGUAAAAGCUGUGUUCCAUAGCUACAUGCUCCCCAAGCCUCUUGUAAAUGCGACGACGCACAGCAAUAAGGCGGUUAUGGAAUGUCACUUGCAAUAUAUGGCAAGAUUCGAUUUCCCAAAUUGGAAGAAUGUCUCGUACGAAAUCAAGUGGUACAAGCAAAAUAAAUUAGCCAAAACAGGAGAAAAGCAGUGCAUAACCAAAGAGUCUGAGUGUGCUUACCAGCCGCAGAAAAUUCAUUUAGAAGCUGAUCCAGGAAGCACGGUUUUCUGUCAAGUUCGGAUGAAGUUUACUACGCAUCCAGAUAACGUGUGGUCUUCUUGGAGACGAAGUAACGAUUACUAUGUCGGAAUAAAAGUUCGUCCGGCUCACUUCAAAAUUAGCCACUGCAAUACCCCCUUCAACAUCGUCUUAACGACGACGGUGCCUAUCCAUAUUGAUGAUGGGCUCUUUUUGCCGAUAAACAUACAGACUGCACAUAUAAAUUCUAAUGGACAACAAUUUGAAGGUAACAUGCCUAUAUUCGAAAAAUGUCGAAAUAAAGCUUUUAAAAACAGCGCUAGUGCUGGGACAACAUACAACAUCAAGGUUCAAAGUGUGUGUGACACCAUGAACAAUUUCAACAAACUUUUAAUCACCAUGAGAUCAGGGGCUGACACUGAUGCUAUAUGGGGAGACUACAUUUUGCCAUCUGUUAAGGUAUCAAUAGAGCACACAGAACACAAGACAUGCUCAUGUGUAAACGACCCACAUUUUUUUACAUUCGACGGAAGGGAUUACACAUUCUUGAAGCUUGGAGAUUUCAUGUUAUUUAAAGAUAAUGAAGCCUCUACCGAAAUACACACACGCAUGUGGACAUGCAAUGAAUCGCCAACUGCUAGCUGCACCUGUGGCGUAGCUAUACGAGAAAAAAAUGAUGUGCUGAUAUUGUCUACAUGCAAUUCUAAAUUAGAAUGGAAUAGUGAUGCACGUGCUCCUUUGUCGAUUUGUAGACCAAGGGGGUAUCUGCUACAAGGCUGGCACAUAACAAAGGAUACCAGUUCAUCAUGUGAGACGAUAUUUACGGUGAUCCUUCCGUCCGGGACAAAGGUUAAAAUAGUAAGAAGGUCAUGGGGCUUAAAAGUCUAUGUGACUGCUUUCAAAACCAACCAAAGAGCAAAUAACUACAGAGGUCUGUGUGGAAACUUCAACGGUGACGGGAGUGUCGAGGACGAAUUCAACGAUGGUGGCGAUAGCAAUCAUUAUACAGACUCAACUAAAUUCGCAGAGAGCUGGAGAUUAAAACGACAAGAAAGUUUUUUUCAUAGUCUACCACCAGACACUCCGGAAAGUAACUCUGCAAAAUACUGUGAGUGUAAAGAAAAAGAUAAAGAUGAAGAUAAAGUCUGUGGAACCCCGCAAAACAACGCUAUUCAUAGACCCCCACCACCGGGCAAUCCAGUUUCCUCUGAAAAUCUGCCGGAAUACUGUAAAGAAUUUUCCGACUCUACGAAUCUACGCGCUUUGCAACGCGCUGAGGAUAGAAUUCGUAAAAGAAGGGAGGCACAAGAAUAUACAACUGAAGAAAGAAAAGAAAAUGCGACACGUAUUUGCAAAGGUUUCAUUGAAGAUUCAGUAGCUGGAAAAAAAUGUAGCGCCUUAUCAAACAUGGAAACCGCUUCGUAUUUGGAGAGCUGUAUCUUCGAUGUAAUGCUAGAAAAAUCAGUCACUUGUGUCGACGAGUUCCCUGCAGUCGACAAGAUGACAGUUCGCAAGAAAAAGAGAACACAACCACACAAGCGACAAACAGAAAACGACAAAAAACCUGCCAAGGUAAAACCAACCAAGGACUACCUGUGGGCCAUGAUUGAUGCUAAAGGCUGGAAGGCAUGAGAAUAGGCAAAUGUCUUAAAGAUAAUAGUAGAGAAGUUCUUACUUUGAAAACAGUUUUCUAUCAACCUAAAGAUAAUGGGGAAGGGAAAUGUUAGGAAAGUGCUCAGUCAAGUAAUUGCAUAACUGUUAAGUUUUCAAAGAUAUAGUCCCAUUUUUUUUCUCCCUCUUUUAACUAUUUUUGUAUACAUUUGAUAUUUUUCGCUGUACCCCCUCAGUACCCUAAAUAAUUAAAAUAGGUUUGGUAUGAAAUUAUACAUGUUCAUUUAGCACAUUCUGUAAUGUAUGUUACCAUCACGAAUGUAUUGCAAUGCAUCUUGGGAAUAAAGCAGUUUCGAAUUCCAAUAUGGCGAAUCGUACACAACAUGUGAAACCACAAAGAAAAAGAACUCAUCCUCCCUGAAUCCAAGCGAAAUAAGCCAGAUAAAGACACUGAUGAGAAGAAGGAAGGGAUUUCGAACUCAAAUAUGCCUAGAAUGGAUUGGACAAGUAAAGACUUGCCAAAGCAUGGACGUCGUUCAAACGUCACGCACAAUUUAUGUUUGGUGGUUCUUUGCAGACGAAGUCUGAGAAACAGAAAUGCAACUACCCAAUGAUCUGGGUAGGUGAGAAGGGCAGCGAUAUACUUCAGACGUGGACUCUGGAAGAAGGAGACGUAAAAAAGCUAAAAACGUAUUACGAGAAGUACUAAGCGUAUGUGAAGCCCAAGUCCAACAGAAUCUUCUCCAGAUAUAAAUUCCAUACGAUGCAAGACGCAAAUGAGCCGUUUGAACAAUUCUUGACAGAUCUCAAGCUUCUAGUCAAAAAUUGCGGCUACACUGAACAAGAUGAGCAUGUGAGAGACAGAAUUGUGAUCGGAUGCAAGUCGUCGAAGCUGAGACAAAAACUCAUCCAAGAGGGAUCGGACUUGACACUAGAAAAAGCAAUCGACAUUGCCAUCACAAUGGAGCAAUCUCAGAUACAGCUCAAAACAAUGAAAGGGGAAGACCCUAGUGUGUUCAAGAUGCAGUCAGGAUGAAAGGAACAAUCGAAAAAAUACAAAGGGCAAAACAAAACACCAGCACAAAUAUGUGGAAAAUGUGGAUACAAACAUGGCAAGGAUAAAUGCCCCGCUAUAGGAAAGCAACGUAUAAGAUGCUCCAAAAUGAAUCACUUUGCAAAGAUGUGCAAGUCCAAAGCCACUUCAGUGAAAUAUGAUGACAACACAGACGAGAGCAUAGAAGAAUAGGAUGAUGAUGAAUUGUUGUAUAUGGGCUGCAUUGACAUUAACUCUGUUAACUCCAUAAACAGUGACUGGAAAGAAGAACUGGAAAUAAAUGGAAAGAAAGCAGCAUUUAUUGGACAGUGCAGCCAAAUGCCUUAUGAUACCUACAAGUCACUGGACAUGAAGGAUGAAAUCAAGAGUACACAAUCACAGCUCAAGUCUUAUUCUGGACAUGUGAUUGGCAUACUUGGAUGUGACUGGAAAGAAGAACUGGAAAUAAAUGGAAAGAAAGCAGCAUUUAUUGGACAGUGCAGCCAAAUGCCUUAUGAUACCUACAAGUCACUGGACAUGAAGGAUGAAAUCAAGAGUACACAAUCACAGCUCAAGUCUUAUUCUGGACAUGUGAUUGGCAUACUUGGAUGUGAUCAACUUACUUGCAAACACAAGGAUAAGUCCCUACAAAUCAAGUGUUACAUUUAAAAGAACAAGGUAUUCUCAGUGCUCAGUGGACAGGCAUGCAAAGACCUUAAACUCAUUAAUCGUAUCAACCAUGUCCAUGCAUCGAAGGAGCCGACAGCAACAGAUGACCCAUCAAAUACAGGCAGAUAUUCUACAGGAGUACUCAGAUCUAUUUCAUGGUCUUGGGUGUUUACCAGGAGAACACCAGAUCAACAUAGACCCAAAUGCUACACCUGUAAUACACUCCCCCUCGGCGUGUGCCUAUCACAUUAAAUGAACAAGUCAAACAGGGAAUGGACAGAAUGGAGGCACUUGGAGUGAUUGUCAAGCAAGAUAAAGCAACACCCUGGGUCAGUAGUAUGGUUACGUUAGUAAAGCUGCCAUACGCAGAUAAUAUUAUCUCAUGAAAACAAUCGAGGACAUAAUUUCUGAAAUACCUAACGCAAAGGUAUUUUCAGUAAUUGUUGCGUCUUCGGGGUAUUGGCAGAUCUAGUUGGACGAAGAGGGCUCGUAACAAUGCACGUUUAACAGCCCCUUUGGCCGGUAUUAGUACCUUCGGUUCCCCUUCGGUGUGAAGUCAGCGAGCGAAGUAUUUCAGCGAAGCAUUUGACAAGUUAAAUUCACACAACAAACCAGGCAAUUUAGAAAAUAAGAGCCCAGACCAUGUUGAUUUUUUUCAACAAGAGUAGCUUCAUUAUUAUUAUUUCUCUUUGUUUCUCCAUAUAGUACCAAAAUGGUUUCGAAAGUACCCGUUUGACUCGCAGGCAUUAACAGUAGUUCCAACUUAAAAUCAAGAGUUCUAGUUUCACAUACCAGACGUAGCUAAAAUUCGUGGAUUCAUUAAAUACAUAUCUAAAUUUCCCUAAAUCCCAUCUAUGGAUAGAGAUUGGGACAGCGUUAUAUAUGAACGUUGCUUGUCCUAAAUCGAUUCUUGGUUUAUUCAGAUGCGAAUCUAGUAAGAGGUUUUAGCAGUCAACAUGGCAAAUGUGUUAACGGUUUAUCCAAACACCGAAGAAGAAGCCAUGACUAGGCCAGCCAUAGAAAUGUAGCUAAUCAAUAUACGUACAAUAGCUGUGUAUUCCGUCUUGAGCGUGAUUGUGCCUUACCUCUGGUACAACUCUCACUUCCAUCAGAGCAAGGCUUAUUUGGCUGAAGCUUAUCGACUCUAAACAUCUGUACAGACGUCUUAUCCGCGUCAUGGAUUUCAAGAAAAAACAAAAACAAAUAAGGGCUACUAAUGCUUACCUGCACAAUAAGCCAUAUCGCAUCCAAAAGGAGGCCUCAGAUAAUAUACAAAGUAGUUAGCCAUGGUGGCCAUGUCUUCGCACUUCUUUGCACAGAUAUCUAUCGUCCUGAAGCAGCCCCAUCGGAUGUUGUUGAGAUUGAUGCACGCAGUAGCGUCCACUGUUUGUCCGACUUGGUGCGGAUGGGGAGAGUUCAUCCAAAUCGGGGCGACUGUUCCACAAGUGUUUGGCUCAGGUUUUGUUGUCGGUAUUUUUCCUCCCACUCCGCUUGUAAAGCGGUACCAUCCCUCUGUCAGUCUAUUGUCACAUAUAGCAGGCUGCGUAUGACUGUAAUUAUGUGCUGAACUCCUAAACGGCUCUUUUAUCGACUUGUGGGUAACACAAGGAUCCGUUGGCUCAGGACACGUCAAAGCUUGGCCAACGCAUCUUUGAAAUGCCCCAAAUGCCAAAAAGAAGAAAAGGGCCGCUCGGAUUAAUGCAGGGCGUCUCACCAUUUCUUGAAAGAGACCUAACACGAACAGAAACAGACAGAAAGCAAAUGAUUCUUGAUGAUGACAAUAAUGCCAUUGCAGUGUACGGUAACAAUUUACCAUAUAUGUACAUGUAAUGAUUGACACGAUAACGUGAUGCAAGAGCGCAUUGUUUGAUAUGGUUGAAGUCGCGUAUUGAAUGAGAGAAUGGAUGAGAUCGAGAUUAUAGCUGCAUAAAAAACACCAAAAAAAUGGUCGCAAGCAGAAACAUAGUUGCAGGCAGAAGCGCGUGAAAGACACAGGUUCCCUUUCCUGUUGACCUAGACUCUUACAAAUAGUAAAUCAAAUUACAUUCGGUUUUACGGUGCAGAUAUGCAUUCGAUUAAAGGUUUCUAUAUGAAUCAUACUAAGCUCCUCCCUUCCUGUGUGGCAAAAAACGGCCCUACGGCCGUAUACUUUAAAGUGAGCUACGGUUCACGUUCACACUAAAAAAAUGUCGAAAAAUAUAAUCUAGGGUACUAAACAUAAAUAAAGUGGAUUUGAUUGACACGCAUGAUUUAUUAGGUGCGAAAGUGUUGGAAAUUAGGGAGUUAAUAUGGGACCUUAUGACCUUUAGAGGCGCAUUACAGCCAAACUAAAAUGCACUAAAAAGCAACAAGCUUUUAAAAUGUUGGUACCCUAGAAUUCGCCCGAUUUUCGUAUAAUUUGGUAGCCUUACUUCAAGAGGUUCUCAUUUUGUAUUUUUUUUAAAUAUUAUUUUUUUAAUUAAGUUAUUCUCGCCAUUACGACGCAAAUAGCUAAAAUUUGAAACUCGGAAACUUUGAACUAAAAUAGCUUUUCGAUGGAAAACGAUAUGGAUGGAACGAGAACCACUUUUGAAUAUUGACAUGUGCUGAUGGAAAUAAGAGGUAUUGCGUGAACAUGGGCGCGCAGUUAAGGUAAGAACAUUUUCGCCGAAGACAACUACGUUAGGGACAACAGUUUGUCCUUCCCUCACUAAGAAA